rnacentral:rRNA from 1 species
UGGGAACUGCAGSACACAUGAACAUAGCCAUAUUGAACGCAAAUGGCGGCCUUHG